UGGCUCAGAACGAACGCUGGCGGCGUGGAUUAGGCAUGCAAGUCGAACGAAUCCCCGUUGGGCAACUGACGGGGGGAAGUGGCGAAAGGGGCGGUAAAGCGUGGGUAACCUACCCCGGGGAUCGGGAUAGCCGUCCUAACGGACGGGUAAUACCGGGCGAGCUGACGAGGGGGCAUCCUCUGGUCAGGAAAUGAGUUUCGCCUCGGGAGGGGCUCACGUAGUAUUAGCUUGUUGGCGGGGUAACGGCCCGGCAAGGCCGAGAUGCCU
rnacentral:rRNA from 1 species